AAGGAUUUAAGUUAAACAAUAAACUCGUAGCCUUCAAAGCCACAAAUAAAGAUGUGCUUUAAGCCUUA
rnacentral:tRNA from 1 species